AUUCCAGCUCCAAUAGCGUAUAUUAAAGUUGUUGCAGUUAAAAAGCUCGUAGUUGAACUUCAGACCUGGCCGGGCGGUCCGCCUAACGGUGUGUACUGUCUGGCUGGGUCUUACCUCUUGGUGAGCCGGCAUGCCCUUCACUGGGUGUGUCGGGGAACCAGGACUUUUACCUUGAGAAAAUUAGAGUGUUCAAAGCAGGCUUAUGCCCGAAUACAUUAGCAUGGAAUAAUAAAAUAGGACGUGCGGUUCUAUUUUGUUGGUUUCUAGAGUCGCCGUAAUGAUUAAUAGGGAUAGUUGGGGGCAUUAGUAUUCAGUUGCUAGAGGUGAAAUUCUUGGAUUUACUGAAGACUAACUACUGCGAAAGCAUUUGCCAAGGAUGUUUUCAUCA
rnacentral:rRNA from 1 species